rnacentral:rRNA from 1 species
GACAGAGGGUGCAAACGUUGUUCGGAAUUACUGGGCGUAAAGCGCGUGUAGGCGGCCAUCUAAGUCGGGCGUGAAAUCCCACGGCUCAACCGUGGAAGUGCACUCGAAACUGGAUGGCUAGAGUCCUGGAGAGGAAGGUGGAAUGCUUGGUGUAGAGGUGAAAUUCGUAGAGAUUGGGUGGAACACCAGUGGCGAAGGCGCCUGUCUGGCUGACAACUGACGCUGAGACUCGAAAGCAUGGGGAGCAAACAGG